UACGUAGGGCGCGAGCGUUGUCCGGAAUUAUUGGGCGUAAAGAGCUCGUAGGCGGCCUGUCGCGUCCGCUGUGAAAACCCGGGGCUCAACCCCGGGCCUGCAGUCGAUACGGGCAGACUAGAGUGCGGUAGGGGAGACUGGAAUUCCUGGUGUAGCGGUGAAAUGCGCAGAUAUCAGGAGGAACACCGGUGGCGAAGGCGGGUCUCUGGGCCGUAACUGACGCUGAGGAGCGAAAGCGUGGGGAGCGAACAGG
rnacentral:rRNA from 1 species